UAGGGAAUAUUGGGCAAUGGAGGGAACUCUGACCCAGCCAUGCCGCGUGCAGGAUGAAGGCGUUAUGCGUUGUAAACUGCUUUUAUAUAGGAAGAAAUAGUCCUUGCGAGGAAAGUUGACGGUACUAUAUGAAUAAGCACCGGCUAACUCCGUGCCAGCAGCCGCGGUAAUACGGAGGGUGCAAGCGUUGUCCGGAUUUAUUGGGUUUAAAGGGUGCGUAGGCGGUUUAUUAAGUCAGUGGUGAAAGACGGUCGCUCAACGAUUGCAGUGCCAUUGAUACUGGUAGACUUGAGUAUGAUUGAGGUAGCUGGAAUGGAUAGUGUAGCGGUGAAAUGCAUAGAUAUUAUCCAGAACACCAAUUGCGUAGGCAAGUUACUAAGUCAUAACUGACGCUGAGGCACGAAAGUGUGGGUAUCAAACAGGAUUAGAUACCCGUGUAGUCCCUGAGCGGGCUGGCAAGGCGCAU
rnacentral:rRNA from 1 species